rnacentral:rRNA from 1 species
CUUGAUUAAUUAUAAGAGGUCCAGCCUGCCCAGUGACUCUGUUCAACGGCCGCGGUAUCCUAACCGUGCGAAGGUAGCGUAAUCACUUGUUCUUUAAAUGAGGACUAGUAUGAAUGGCACCACGAAGGUUAUACUGUCUCCUUUCUCUAAUCAGUGAAACUAAUCUCCCCGUGAAGAAGCGGGGAUAAAUCUAUAAGACGAGAAGACCCUAUGGAGCUUUAAACAAGUAACAAUUGCCUUAACUAAUUUCUUAAUCUCCGGAGAUUUACCCCUUUAUCCAGGCACUUUAAUUACAAGUUUUAGGUUGGGGUGACCGCGGAGCAUAAAAUAACCUCCACAGUGAAUGGGACUUAUUCCCUAAACCCAGGGCUACAACCCUAAGCAUCAAUAAAUUGACACCUAUUGACCCAAUAUUUUUGAUCAAUGAAC